GGACCCCCUUGAUGUCCAGCACUGGGCUCUGAUCAUCCUGAAGACAUGGUGCCCCCAGGGACCUUUGACACCCUGGGGUCUGAGGGGUCC
ensembl:snoRNA Snord88a small nucleolar RNA SNORD88